UAAGUGACUAAGCGUACACGGUGGAUGCCUUGGCAGUCAGAGGCGAUGAAAGACGUAGUAACUUGCGAUAAGCCCAGAUUAGGUAGUAACAACCAUUUGAGUCUGGGAUUUCUGAAUGGGGAAACCCACGUGCAUAAGCACGUAUCCUUACCUGAAUACAUAGGGUAAGGAGGCGAACCGGGGGAACUGAAACAUCUAAGUACCCCGAGGAAAAGAAAUCAACCGAGAUUCCGAAAGUAGCGGCGAGCGAAAUUGGACUAGCCCUUAAGCUUUACACGCGUUAGACGAACGGUCUGGAAAGUCCGACGAUACAGGGUGAUAGUCCCGUAGUUGACGACGUGUGUUCAGUGAAAUCGAGUAGGGCGGGACACGUGAUAUCCUGUCUGAAUAUGGGGGGACCAUCCUCCAAGGCUAAAUACUACUGACUGACCGAUAGUGAACCAGUACCGUGAGGGAAAGGCGAAAAGAACCCCUGUGAGGGGAGUGAAAUAGAACCUGAAACCGUGUACGUACAAGCAGUAGGAGCAGGCUUUGUCCUGUGACUGCGUACCUUUUGUAUAAUGGGUCAGCGACUUAUAUUCAGUGGCAAGGUUAACCAUCUAGGGGAGCCGUAGGGAAACCGAGUCUUAACUGGGCGUUCAGUCUCUGGAUAUAGACCCGAAACCAGGUGAUCUAGCCAUGGGCAGGUUGAAGGUUGAGUAACAUCAACUGGAGGACCGAACCGACUAAUGUUGAAAAAUUAGCGGAUGACUUGUGGCUAGGGGUGAAAGGCCAAUCAAACCUGGAGAUAGCUGGUUCUCCCCGAAAGCUAUUUAGGUAGCGCCUCGGACGAAUACUACUGGGGGUAGAGCACUGUUAAGGCUAGGGGGUCAUCCCGACUUACCAACCCUUUGCAAACUCCGAAUACCAGUAAGUACUAUCCGGGAGACACACGGCGGGUGCUAACGUCCGUCGUGGAGAGGGAAACAACCCAGACCGCCAGCUAAGGUCCCAAAUUACUACUAAGUGGGAAACGAUGUGGGAAGGCUCAGACAGCCAGGAUGUUGGCUUAGAAGCAGCCAUCAUUUAAAGAAAGCGUAAUAGCUCACUGGUCGAGUCGGCCUGCGCGGAAGAUGUAACGGGGCUAAGUAGUAAACCGAAGCUGCGGCAAUAUACUUUUGUAUAUUGGGUAGGGGAGCGUUCUGUAAGCGGUUGAAGGUGUGUGGUAACGCAUGCUGGACGUAUCAGAAGUGCGAAUGCUGACAUGAGUAACGAUAAAGGGGGUGAAAAACCUCCUCGCCGGAAGACCAAGGGUUCCUGUCCAACGUUAAUCGGGGCAGGGUAAGUCGACCCCUAAGGCGAGGCCGAAAGGCGUAGUCGAUGGGAAACGGGUUAAUAUUCCCGUACUUCUUACAAUUGCGAUGGGGGGACGGAGAAGGCUAGGUGGGCCUGGCGACGGUUGUCCAGGUUCAAGUGCGUAGGCUUAAGAGUUAGGUAAAUCCGGCUCUUUCUAAGGCUGAGACACGACGUCGAGCACCUACGGGUGUGAAGUCAUUGAUGCCAUGCUUCCAGGAAAAGCCUCUAAGCUUCAGAUUGUAAGGAAUCGUACCCCAAACCGACACAGGUGGUCGGGUAGAGAAUACCAAGGCGCUUGAGAGAACUCGGGUGAAGGAACUAGGCAAAAUGGUACCGUAACUUCGGGAGAAGGUACGCUCUUGAUGGUGAAGUCCCUUGCGGAUGGAGCUGACGAGAGUCGCAGAUACCAGGUGGCUGCAACUGUUUAUUAAAAACACAGCACUGUGCAAAAUCGUAAGAUGACGUAUACGGUGUGACGCCUGCCCGGUGCCGGAAGGUUAAUUGAUGGGGUUAGACUUCGGUCGAAGCUCUUGAUCGAAGCCCCGGUAAACGGCGGCCGUAACUAUAACGGUCCUAAGGUAGCGAAAUUCCUUGUCGGGUAAGUUCCGACCUGCACGAAUGGCGUAAUGAUGGCCACGCUGUCUCCACCCGAGACUCAGUGAAAUUGAAAUCGCUGUGAAGAUGCAGUGUACCCGCGGCUAGACGGAAAGACCCCGUGAACCUUUACUACAGCUUGGCACUGAACAUUGACCCUACAUGUGUAGGAUAGGUGGGAGGCUUUGAAGCACGUACGCCAGUAUGUGUGGAGCCGUCCUUGAAAUACCACCCUUGUAGUGUUGAUGUUCUAACGUCGACCCCUUAUCGGGGUUGCGGACAGUGCCUGGUGGGUAGUUUGACUGGGGCGGUCUCCUCCCAAAGAGUAACGGAGGAGCACGAAGGUGGGCUAAUCACGGUUGGACAUCGUGAGGUUAGUGCAAUGGCAUAAGCCCGCUUGACUGCGAGAAUGACAAUUCGAGCAGGUGCGAAAGCAGGUCAUAGUGAUCCGGUGGUUCUGAAUGGAAGGGCCAUCGCUCAACGGAUAAAAGGUACUCCGGGGAUAACAGGCUGAUACCGCCCAAGAGUUCAUAUCGACGGCGGUGUUUGGCACCUCGAUGUCGGCUCAUCACAUCCUGGGGCUGAAGUCGGUCCCAAGGGUAUGGCUGUUCGCCAUUUAAAGUGGUACGCGAGCUGGGUUUAGAACGUCGUGAGACAGUUCGGUCCCUAUCUGCCGUGGGCGUUGGAAGAUUGAAGGGGGCUGCUCCUAGUACGAGAGGACCGGAGUGGACGAACCUCUGGUGUUCGGGUUGUGUCGCCAGACGCAUUGCCCGGUAGCUAAGUUCGGAAUCGAUAACCGCUGAAAGCAUCUAAGCGGGAAGCGAGCCCUGAGAUGAGUCUUCCCUGAUACUUUAAGUAUCCUAAAGGGUUGUCGGAGACUACGACGUUGAUAGGUCAGGUGUGUAAGUGCUGUGAGGCAUUGAGCUAACUGAUACUAAUUGCCCGUGAGGCUUAACCA
rnacentral:rRNA from 1 species